GAAGAAUGAUAGAAAUGAGACACAUCGGAGGCAGAGAGGAUGCCUUUCUGUUUGUGUUACUGGUUGGAGAUGUGAUGGUGAUGGCGGUGUUCGACACACAUCCUCUUUCUAAGCCAAAGUGACAAAAAAGAGAUGAGAUGGAGGCGUCGAGCAGACAGAUAGAAAAUAUGAUAAGGGAGUCGCGCCUAACAUCAAUGAUGGUGGUGCCGGCGAUGCUUGUGUACCGGAGACGAGGAUGUCGAGUAUCAAAAAAAAGUAUUAAUUGUUAUAGGGUUGAUAAUAAAAAUAACAUUGGAGCCAAAAACAUUAAAUAGUUGAAUUAAUGAAAUUUAUAGCCCUUGCUAGCUAAAGAACUGGAGAGUUAGAAUGCAAUGGAAUCCAUAGCCCAUGUCAACGGGGUAAGCCUUUCUCUUGCAAAGUUAUUCGUUCAUGUUCAAUUUUUGUCAAUGUUACACGGACGAUUCAAAUCUAACACCUUCUCCUAACCAAAUUAGUGUUUUUUUCCAUGUUCCUCUCGUUUUGUUUGGAUUUUUCCAGUUAUUGCUUCUCUUAAUGCUUACACAUUUUGUAUUUUACGUGUGUUAUCUUCCCAGUAUAUGUUUGUAGAUUUGGAGAUUUGUUCUUCCAUGUUCCAAAAAGUCUGUGCUUUUGUUGGAUGCUUCAGCCUUGCCUUUUAGAUUCGUUUGUUUUUUGUGCUGCAUUUCUCUGGACGUUUAUUUUGGCGUUUCGGGAAUCCAGUUCGAGCUCAAACAGGUGGUCAGCCCACAACUUGUAGACUCCUUCAAUUAGCCGGUGCUCCUGCUUUUAUAUGCGUUGUUCUUGCUGCGUCGUUUAAUCCAGAACAUCAUCUUACAUAAACCAUCCAGAUCAUUUGGACCCACAGCUACAACAAACUCAGCCCCUAAACUGAUGUUGCCAUCAACCUCCAAACAUCCUGACACCAACAUUCUUUACAGCUGUGUCAUCUGCCACAUAGACUCAUAUACCUAGAACUAAGAGGAAGCUAGACUUUGAAUGCACUGUUUCAAGCAGCAACCACAUGUAUGUCCAGAUUGUCUACUUGCAGUCUCACAACUGAGGUCCAGACCACGAUUUCUGAGGAAGGUGAUCAGUGCGAGGAUGAUCUCAGCCCGACACAGCUUCCCAGUUAAUCCCCACCAAACAAGAAACAACAUCCAUCCCUGUCGUUGCAGUGAUAGGUGCAUUUUUUUAUUCGGAUCGAUUGCCCCCCCCUACAUUGCCUUGAUAACAAUCAUUUUGUCCAGGAGCAUGUCUUGCAUUUGCAUGGUUUUCACUCCAGUGCUUCUAUUCUCUGCUUUCGUUUUGAACACAUAGAACACAUUCUGUUCUGCUUUGUGCACUGCAUUUAUUUUAUUUUUCUUUUUUGCGAUACCUCUGGCUUAACCAAUAUUGGCACUGUCUGUUUGCUAUUUCAUUCACUUUCGCCUAUGUCUUUCCUCUAAUUGGAAUGGCUUUUCAAGGCUGGUUUAGUUGCUGCGAUGCUUCUACUA